CUUCCUGAAGAGCAGAGGAACGCAUUCGUGGGAUUCCACAGCUGCGGCCGGGAGGGGAGGGACAGCGGGGCCAUUCAUCCCCUUGGCUUUAUUGAAAACAGAAUUGUUCAUUCGUGCCCAUCCUCAGCUUCAGGAAGUGUUACAAAGGACAGAUCCAUGCUGGAGCCUCGCCUGCAUGCUCCAGCCCCACGAGGGAUCCCUCUGGACUUCUCCCAUGGAGGCAGCUGGGGGAUGGCCUCGCAACACAUCCCAUGGACCCAGCAUCCCUUCCCAGCACCAUCUCGAGGAGGAAAACCCCCAAAUCAUACCAUGGCUCCCAGCAGCAGCCGAUGUCCUGCUCCUCACGUGUAGCAGAGGUGGCACGCGGUCACCUCCCGGGCUGGGCACCAGCUCCCAGCAGCGCUUCCAUAGAAAACCAGAACAUCGCAAACCAUAAAAUGGAAAUAAAAAUUU